GGCCUCGGCACCCACGACAGGGGCGCCAAACCCCAGCAGCAGGCAGCCUGGCCUCCAGCUCCAGCUCCCAUAUCUCUGCUGUCAUGCAGGUCUUUGCAGCAGCAGACGGGGCGGAGGUGCGGGCAGAGGAAAGAACAAUUGACAAUGGCUCACCAGGGGAAAAAUAACAACUGCUGCACCUCUCUGCAAUCCUGCACAGAUACACGAACCUGGCUUGAGAUACCGUGAUUCUUAAACAUCGUUCCUGCAGAACACCGGUUUUCCAGAAGCCAAAGUAAAGAGGUUUCCCCCUCAACAUCAAAA